AUAAACUUCAAUGACUGGCUUGUUGGAUGGAUCCAAUCCUGCAAUUGCUGUUCAUGAUAGAGAUUUCGAAGAGCUUCUCUGAAGGUACGAGUGUAUCUGAGACAACCCGGAGUCGCAACACUUUUUGGGUGCCCCCUGUGCAAGUGUUUUUAAGAUAAAUGUGGAUGGAGGUUUCAAACAUCCUAAUUCAGGAAGUUUUGGUGCUGUUAUCAGAGAUCACAAUGGUGCUUGUGUGGCGGCCUGCUAUGGACCUGUUUUUGUGGCUUCAGCUGAAGCUAUUGCAGUUAGGCAAGGCUUAGACUUGGCAAAGAUGGCUGGCCUCUCCUUUUGUGUGCUUGAGACUAACUGUCAGAACUUGUGAAUGUCAUUCAGAAAGGUCUCCCUGAGGUUCCAACAACCUUGAAAUCCCUUCUAAAAGAUAUUUUGAGUGUGUCUGAGUCUAUUUCUGCUUCCUUUUCUUUUGUGAACAGAAGUUGUAAUAGCUGUGCUCAUACUGUAGCUCAGAGAGGUUUCCAGAUCAGGGUCUGUUUAUUUUCGACUGCCCAGAUUGGAUUCAGUCCCUUGCAAGAUCUGACUCUGGCUAACCUUUCUUGAGAUCUAUUCUGUUUCUCCUCUUGUUUAGUUUAA